UACGGAGGGUGCAAGCGUUAUCCGGAUUUACUGGGUUUAAAGGGUGUGUAGGCGGGCUAUUAAGUCAGUGGUGAAAUCUCCGGGCUCAACCCGGAAACUGCCAUUGAUACUAUUAGUCUUGAAUUUUGUUGAGGUAGGCGGAAUAAGUCAUGUAGCGGUGAAAAUGCAUAGAUAUGACUUAGAACACCAAUUGCGAAGGCAGCUUACUAAGCAAAAUAUUGACGCUGAGGCACGAAAGCGUGGGGAUCAAACAGG
rnacentral:rRNA from 1 species